GGCACCGUAGCUCAGUGGUAGAGCAGGGGAAUCAUAAUCCCUUGGUCGGGGGUUCAAAUCCCUCCGGUGCUACCA
rnacentral:tRNA from 1 species